GUUCGGGUAGUUUAUUACUAAAACGUUAGUUUGUGGCGCUAAAAAAAUAAAAAUCUUAUCCUGAACC
rnacentral:tRNA from 1 species